UUGAAUAUAUUUAAUGUUGAUAUGUAAAUUUCUACAUUAUAAUUUAUCUGUUUUUUAUUGUCUCACACUUUACAGGGUAUCUGUAAGUUGAUUUGCAUUUAUCAAUUAAAAUGCACAAUAGCAGUAGAUGGCACUUGUGCAUAGGGGAGCAUAUGAAUAUGAAUGAUAUUUACGCACUUUACAUGGCAUCUUCUAGUUCGUAACUCUCGCGAAGAUCAUAAAUAAGAGUAUGUUAAUGUGUGUAUAUUUAGGAAAUUGUUGUCGACACUCACACACACACACUCACACACAGAUGGACAUAUGCAUGCAUGCAUACAGUCGUAACUUCAUCGACGAGACACACAAACAGAAAACUACAGUUCAUGCUAAGUACUUGAAACUGUUUGCUUUACUUUUAAGUAAAGAUAUUCAUAAAUGACAAUUAUUGCUGAGUCACGCAAUCAAUGUACACUCUUUUUUUUCAUAGCCUGUUUAAUGCUGUAUUUUUCUUAAAAAUAAAAAAGGUAUGCGUGAGAAUAAUUGAUUUCACAUUAUUUUGUUGUCAUUGUUUAUUUUAGAAAUGAAAAGAUGAUUAUUAAUUUUUACAUUUUGUACAUUUAUGACGUUUCUGUACCAUAUAUGUCCACGCCAUACAGAUUUCUACGUAGUACCCUGUAAUAACAUCGCAUGGCUAACGUGAAUAUGAACUUAUUCAAAAUCAAUAUAUCGGGAAAGGAUUAAGGAUGCGGUACUGAAAUACUCCUCACUAUGAAAUAAGUUAAACUCUUAUUGAAAAUCGAUCAAGAUAUAAAUACAGGAUAACUGCAAGUCGUUCAGACCCCUCUGCUGCAUUCGGACUCGUUUUGUAUGUCAUCGUGAAUACAGAAGGCAGACAAACAUCUAUUCGUAAUAUCAAACGUGAAAAUCAACAGCCGAGGAAGACAGUAGCUCGACAUUGCAGCAUGUGUAUCUUUAAAUCCAAAUGGGAUUGGGGAGUGAGAUACAAGAUUCUAAUCAAGCAUAUUUGUUUGUUUUUUAUAAACUUGUUAUUUAAUAGAUUUCGUAGACUCUAAGAAGUUGUCGUCCAAGUUAUGGCAUUUAAUAAGAAAUAUACUAUGUGUUGUCUGACUUUAA